CCUGCUCUGUAAAUUAAACUUUAAUCACACACAGGAGACUCCUGCCAGGUCUAGCAAGCUAUUAACGGUGCAAGAGAUAAGAAAUUCCAAAUUAAACAGAAUGUACAAUAAAGGAAGUAUAAACAUUAGCUCUCAAUUUACAGGAAGUGUUUAGGAAAGUCAUAUGCAAAGAGGUGUGCAAGGGCUGCAAAAACAGUUAAAGUGAUUUAACUCCUAAAUGGCAGAUAUUUG